rnacentral:misc_RNA from 1 species
GAUGAAGAACGCAGCGAAAUGCGAUAAGUAGUGUGAAUUGCAGAAUUCAGUGAAUCAUCGAAUCUUUGAACGCACAUUGCGCCCUUUGGUAUUCCAAAGGGCAUGCCUGUUCGAGCGUCAUUUGUACCCUCAAGCUUUGCUUGGUGUUGGGCGUCUUGUCUCUAGCUUUGCUGGAGACUCGCCUUAAAGUAAUUGGCAGCCGGCGUAUUGAUUUCGGAGCGCAGUACAUCUCGCGCUUUGCACUCAUAACGACAGCGUCCAAAAGUACAUUUUACACUCUUGACCUCGGAUCAGGUAGGGAUACCCGCUGAACUUAAGCAUAUCAAUAAGCGGAGGA